UGUCAUUAAAAUAAAAAUCAUGUUUGAUAUGUCUGCCUGUCUUGUUAAAUACAAGCACCUUGGUUUUAUUGGGAUUAAUUUUCAAACACCGAUCUUAAUCCAUCAAGUUUACUUUGACGUCCUUUUGCUGAAGUUGAAAAAAUGGCAAGAUCAUCAGCAUAUUUAUAGUAAAGAAUAGGCUGGUCGUGAGUAAACAACAGCUGGAUCAGGGGAACUUUUAACACAAUCAGGAAGUUCAUAUAUAAAAAUU
rnacentral:lncRNA from 1 species